GGCACCCUGGGGCACUGCAGUUAGUGGGUAUGUGGUGCAGCCUGUGGCCCUUUAAACUGAGCUGCUCUGCCAGAGCUCAGUGUGCAGGCAGGAGCUCGGGCUCCAGCUCCAACAGCUGAAAUUCUGGGCCAGGUUUCAGGAGCAGCUCUGGAAGUUUCUUUCCAGGGCUCUGAGCUUGCAAGCUUGUCCCCUUCCCAGCCAGGGGAAGGGAGUGGGGAAAACAGUGUUCACCACCUCUUACCUGUAAGUGAUUGGCCCUUGUGGUGAGUAGGAGACUGGGGGUGGGGACAGGCAGCCCAGAUGUGCCUACCUUUAGGAUUCAAUACAAUUAGAGUACUGUAUUUGCUGAUUUGUUUGUGGUUGGGUUUUUUGUUUGUUUUUUUUUUGUCUCGGCUACUGCCUGAAAGCUUACUUCUGGUUCCCCAUGUGUCCAGUUGACAGGAACUCACUGCUCCAAGUCAUGGAGAGGAAAAUGCAAUGGGAUAAAGAUGCAGCAUUAAGGCAGAAAGAUGACAUGACAUGUCUAAGGUAACACAGAAUGUCUGUGGCUCAGCUGGGUAUGAAUGCAGCUCCCCUAUGUCCCAGUCCUGUGCUUCAACCUCUGUA